rnacentral:rRNA from 1 species
GACGAACGCUGGCGGCGUGCUUAACACAUGCAAGUCGAACGGUAAGGCCCUUCGGGGUACACGAGUGGCGAACGGGUGAGUAACACGUGAGUGAUCUGCCCUGCACUUCGGGAUAAGCCUGGGAAACUGGGUCUAAUACCGGAUAGGACCCUGGGAUGCAUGUCCUGGGGUGGAAAGCUUUUGCGGUGUGGGAUGGGCCCGCGGCCUAUCAGAUUGUUGGGGGGGUGAUGGCCUACCCAGUCGACGAGGGGUAGCCGGCCUGAGAGGGUGACCGGCCACACUGGGACUGAGAUACGGCCCAGACUCCUACGUGAGGCAGCAGUGGGGAAUAUUGCACAAUGGGCGCAAGCCUGAUGCAGCGACGCCGCGUGAGGGAUGACGGCCUUCGGGUUGUAAACCUCUUUCAGCACCGACGAAGCGCAAGUGACGGUAGGUGCAGAAGAAGGACCGGCCAACUACGUGCCAGCCGCCGCAGUAA